AUUGAACGCUGGCGGCAGGCCUAACACAUGCAAGUCGAACGGUAACAGGAAACAGCUUGCUGUUUCGCUGACGAGUGGCGGACGGGUGAGUAAUGUCUGGGAAACUGCCUGAUGGAGGGGGAUAACUACUGGAAACGGUAGCUAAUACCGCAUAACGUCGCAAGACCAAAGAGGGGGACCUUCGGGCCUCUUGCCAUCGGAUGUGCCCAGAUGGGAUUAGCUAGUAGGUGGGGUAACGGCUCACCUAGGCGACGAUCCCUAGCUGGUCUGAGAGGAUGACCGGCCACACUGGAACUGAGACACGGUCCAGACUCCUACGAGAGGCAGCAGUGGGGAAUAUUGCACAAUGGGCGCAAGCCUGAUGCAGCCAUGCGGCGUGUAUGAAGAAGGCCUUCGGGUUGUAAAGUACUUUCAGCGGGGAGGAAGGGAGUAAGGUUAAUACCUUGACUCAUUGACGUUACCCGCAGAAGAAGCACCGGCUAACUCCGUG
rnacentral:rRNA from 1 species